GGGCCGAUAGCUCAGUGGUAGAGCAUUCGACUUUUAAUCGAAUGGUCCUGGGUUCGAAUCCCAGUCGGCCUACCA
rnacentral:tRNA from 1 species